rnacentral:lncRNA from 12 species
GUUACAUUCCCGUCCAGGUCUGUCAACAACUGGAAUCUAUUGUCUGGAAAUUCCUGCCUUGGUGGCCAAGGUUGGUUAUUGCCUGCUAGGAUAAUUGAUGCCUUUUCACCUUGAGCUACCCUGAAAUUGCUGGCUCACUUCUUGUCCUUGAAGAGCAUGAACCUGAGAACUUUUGACCUGGAUUAGAUUUGGAAGUAAUGAUCUUGAAGUACAGGACCAAUAUUGGGG